GUGCUUGCUUCAGCAGCACAUAUACUUAAAAAGGUAGAACAAUACAGAGAAGAUUAGCAUGGCCCCUGUGCAAGGAUGAUAUCACAAAAUCAUGUUAAAAAAAAGAAAAGA
ensembl:snRNA U6 U6 spliceosomal RNA